rnacentral:rRNA from 1 species
AGAGUUUGAUCAUGGCUCAGAUUGAACGCUGGCGGCAGGCCUAACACAUGCAAGUCGAGCGGUAGCACAGAGAGCUUGCUCUCGGGUGACGAGCGGCGGACGGGUGAGUAAUGUCUGGGAAACUGCCUGAUGGAGGGGGAUAACUACUGGAAACGGUAGCUAAUACCGCAUAACGUCGCAAGACCAAAGUGGGGGACCUUCGGGCCUCAUGCCAUCAGAUGUGCCCAGAUGGGAUUAGCUAGUAGGUGGGGUAACGGCUCACCUAGGCGACGAUCCCUAGCUGGUCUGAGAGGAUGACCAGCCACACUGGAACUGAGACACGGUCCAGACUCCUACGGGAGGCAGCAGUGGGGAAUAUUGCACAAUGGGCGCAAGCCUGAUGCAGCCAUGCCGCGUGUAUGAAGAAGGCCUUCGGGUUGUAAAGUACUUUCAGCGAGGAGGAAGGCGUUAAGGUUAAUAACCUUAGCGAUUGACGUUACUCGCAGAAGAAGCACCGGCUAACUCCGUGCCAGCAGCCGCGGUAAUACGGAGGGUGCAAGCGUUAAUCGGAAUUACUGGGCGUAAAGCGCACGCAGGCGGUCUGUCAAGUCGGAUGUGAAAUCCCCGGGCUCAACCUGGGAACUGCAUUCGAAACUGGCAGGCUAGAGUCUUGUAGAGGGGGGUAGAAUUCCAGGUGUAGCGGUGAAAUGCGUAGAGAUCUGGAGGAAUACCGGUGGCGAAGGCGGCCCCCUGGACAAAGACUGACGCUCAGGUGCGAAAGCGUGGGGAGCAAACAGGAUUAGAUACCCUGGUAGUCCACGCCGUAAACGAUGUCGACUUGGAGGUUGUGCCCUUGAGGCGUGGCUUCCGGAGCUAACGCGUUAAGUCGACCGCCUGGGGAGUACGGCCGCAAGGUUAAAACUCAAAUGAAUUGACGGGGGCCCGCACAAGCGGUGGAGCAUGUGGUUUAAUUCGAUGCAACGCGAAGAACCUUACCUACUCUUGACAUCCAGAGAACUUAGCAGAGAUGCUUUGGUGCCUUCGGGAACUCUGAGACAGGUGCUGCAUGGCUGUCGUCAGCUCGUGUUGUGAAAUGUUGGGUUAAGUCCCGCAACGAGCGCAACCCUUAUCCUUUGUUGCCAGCGGUCCGGCCGGGAACUCAAAGGAGACUGCCAGUGAUAAACUGGAGGAAGGUGGGGAUGACGUCAAGUCAUCAUGGCCCUUACGAGUAGGGCUACACACGUGCUACAAUGGCAUAUACAAAGAGAAGCGACCUCGCGAGAGCAAGCGGACCUCAUAAAGUAUGUCGUAGUCCGGAUUGGAGUCUGCAACUCGACUCCAUGAAGUCGGAAUCGCUAGUAAUCGUAGAUCAGAAUGCUACGGUGAAUACGUUCCCGGGCCUUGUACACACCGCCCGUCACACCAUGGGAGUGGGUUGCAAAAGAAGUAGGUAGCUUAACCUUCGGGAGGGCGCUUACCACUUUGUGAUUCAUGACUGGGGUGAAGUCGUAACAAGGUAACCGUAGGGGAACCUGCGGUUG